AGAUCACAAGACCCCAGGAGACUGAGAGUGCAGUGAGCUGAGAUCACACCACUACACUCCAGCCUGGGCGACAGAG
rnacentral:snRNA from 1 species